AACGAACGCUGGCGGCAGGCUUAACACAUGCAAGUCGAGCGCCCCGCAAGGGGGGCGGCAGACGGGUGAGUAACGCGUGGGAACCUACCCUUUUCUACGGAAUAACGCAUGGAAACGUGUGCUAAUACCGUAUACGCCCUACGGGGGAAAGAUUUAUCGGAGAAGGCAGGGCCCGCGUUGGAUUAGCUAGUUGGUGGGGUAAAGGCCUACCAAGGCGACGAUCCAUAGCUGGUCUGAGAGGAUGAUCAGCCACAUUGGGACUGAGACACGGCCCAAACUCCUACGGGAGGCAGCAGUGGGGAAUAUUAGACAAUGGGCGCAAGCCUGAUCCAGCCAUGCCGCGUGAGUGAUGAAGGCCCUAGGGUUGUAAAGCUCUUUCACCGGAGAAGAUAAUGACGGUAUCCGGAGAAGAAGCCCCGGCUAACUUCGUGCCAGCCGCCGCCGUAAGAC
rnacentral:rRNA from 1 species